ensembl:lncRNA
CACAGACACACACAGUCUCACACAGACACACACAAUCACACACACACACACAACACAGACACACACAAAGUCACACACACACACACACACACAACACAGACACACACACAGUCACAGACACACACACACACACAACACAGACGCACACACAGUCACACACACACACACACACACACAGUCACACACACACACAGUCUCACACACACACACACAGUCACACACACACACACACACAACACAGACACACACACAGUCACACACACAGACACACACAGACACACACAGUCACACACACACACACACACAGACAGACACACACAGACACAGUCGCAUACACACACACAGACACACAACACAGACACACAACACAGACACACACACAGUCUCACACACACACACAGACACAGUCUCACACACACACACAGACAGUCACACACACACAACACAGACACACACACAGUCACACACACACACACACAGACACACAACACAGACACACACACAGUCGCACACACACACACACACACACACAGACACACACACACACACAACACAGACAGUCACACACACACACACACAACACAGACACACACACACAACACAGACAGUCACACACACACACACACAACACAGACACACACACACACACACAACACAGACAGUCACACACACACACACACAACACAGACUCACACACACACACACACACAACACAGUCACACACACACACACAACACAGCCACACACACACACACACACACAGACAGUCACACAGACACACACACAGUCACACACAGACACACACACAGUCGCACACACACACACACACACACACACACACACAGACACACACACAGUCACACACACACACACAACACAGACAGUCACACACACACACACACAACACAGACACACACACAGUCACACACACACACACACACACACACAACACAGUCACACACACACACACACAACACAGACUCACUCACACACACACACACACACACACACAACACAGUCACACACACACACAACACAGCCACACACACAGACACACACACAGUCACACACACAGACACACAACACAGUCACACACACACACAACACAGACACACACACAGUCACACACACACACAGCCACACACACAGACACACACACAGUCACACACACAGUCACACACACACACACACACAACACAGACACACACACAGUCACACACACACACACACACACACACACACAGACAGUCACACACACACACACACACACACACACACACACACACAACACAGUCACACACACACACAACACAGACACACACACACACACACAACACAGUCACACACACACACAACACAGACACACACACAGUCACACACACACACAGCCACACACACAGACAGUCACACACACACACACACAACACAGACUCACACACACACACACACACACACACACACACACAACACAGUCACACACACACACACACAGACAGUCACACACACACACACACAGACAGUCACACACACACAACACAGACACACACACACACACAGACACACAACACACACACACACACAGUCACACACACACACACACACACACACAGACACAGUCUCACACACACACACAGUCUCACACAGACACAGUCACACACACACACACACAACACAGUCACACACACACACACACACACACACACACAACACAGACAGUCACACACACACACACACACACAGACACACACCGACACACAACACAGACACACACACAGUCUCACACACACAGACACACACACAGACACACAACACAGUCACACACACAGACACACACACACACACACACAGACAGUCACACACACACAACACAGACACACACACACACACAGACACAGUCUCUCACACACACACACAGACACACACACAGUCGCACACACACACACAUACACACACAGUCUCACACACACAGUCACACACACACACACACACAGACAGUCACACACACACACACAGACAGUCACACACAUACAACACAGACACACACACAGUCACACACAGACACACAACACAGACACACACACAGUCUCACACACACAGACACACACACAGACACACAACACAGUCACACACACACACACAGACAGUCACACACAUACAACACACACACACACACAGACACACACAGACACACAACACAGACACACACACAGUCUCACACACACAGACACACACACAGACACACAACACAGUCACACACACAGUCACACACACACACACACACAGACAGUCACACACACACAACACAGACACACACACACACACAGACACAGUCUCUCACACACACACACAGACACACACACAGUCGCACACACACACACAUACACACACAGUCUCACACACACAGUCACACACGCACACACAGACAGUCACACACACACACACAGACAGUCACACACAUACAACACAGACACACACACAGUCACACACACACACAGACACAGUCUCACACACACACACAGACACACAACACAGACACACACACAGUCGCACACACACACACACACACACACACACACAGUCUCACACAGACACAGUCACACACACACACACACAACACAGUCACACACACACACAGACACACACACACACACACACAGACAGUCACACACACACAACACAGACACACACACAGUCACACACACACACACAGACACAGUCUCACACACACACACAGACACACAACACAGACACACACACAGUCGCACACACACACACACACACACACACACACAGUCUCACACAGACACAGUCACACACACACACACACAACACAGUCACACACACACACACAACACAGACAGUCACACACACACACAACACAGUCACACACACACACACACACAACACAGUCACACAGACACACACACACACAGACACACACACACACACACAGACACACACACACACACACAGACACACACACACACACACAGACACACACACACACACACACACACAACACAGACAGUCACACACACACACAACACAGUCACACACACACACACACACACACAGUCUCUCACACACACACACACACAGACACACACACACACACACACACACACACCAAAAGAUGACAGAAACUGCUGUAACAUCAAUCAGUCUCGAUUCUUCACUGCUAACUUUAAAAACUCCCAAAAUAUGUAUUUUUGAUGUCGCAGCCUCGAUCAGCUGA